rnacentral:lncRNA from 1 species
UUCUCGCCUAGUACGGUGGUCUUCUGAAUUCGCUCUCAACCAAAGAGCUUUAAAACACUUCUUUUCCAGUUCUCGAGCUGACUAGUCGUAUUCAGAAAUCGUUCUCAACUAGGAGUAUUAAAAUAACUUAUAAGAUUCAAGGCUUGGUUCCAUCGCAUAUAACAGACACAUAUAAUAAUUCUGAAUACAUUAUUUUAUAAUAACCAACUUUUAGAAGCGGCUCUCGCUGCUCUCAUACGAGGAAUAAGGAACCAAAUAGCAGUUCAUCACCCGUACACCCCGUCCUCGCGAGCAAAUACUCUCCACCGCCGGAGCCGGAACCGAAUAACGAGCCGUUUACAACAGAGGGCGUAUCCAGAGAGGUUAUCCGACGGAUCAUCGACAUUCUCAAAGGGUGGCUUCUGGAACAAUUCGACGUCCGGCGUCAGCUGAUUCCCGUCCCAGUUAUCUGGGAGGUGCCCGAAGAGCCAGACCGCAAAACCAGACCACGACCGGAAAACAUUACAUUGGAUCAAAAGAGUCUAUGGUAGAAAGUGUAUCGACAACCAACUUCAACCUUCUACGAUGAAGUCUAAUGAGCAAGGAAUGUUUCGAGGAAUCUUGGAAGAAAUGCAUAACUGUCAAAUUACUUCACCUAUAUUGAGCAGAAACUUAGA